rnacentral:rRNA from 1 species
UGGGGGAUAUUGCACAAUGGGCGAAAGCCUGAUGCAGCGACGCCGCGUGGGGGAUGAAGGCCUUCGGGUUGUAAACUUCUUUUGCUCUGAACAAGGCAUGCCUUUGGGGUGUGUUGAGUGUAGGGGUUGAUUAGCGCCGGCUAACUACGUGCCAGCAGCCGCGGUAAUACGUAGGGCGCGAGCGUUGUCCGGAAUUAUUGGGCGUAAAGGGCUUGUAGGUGGCUGGUUGCGUCUGUCGUGAAAGCUCAUGGCUUAACUGUGGGUUUGCGGUGGGUACGGGCUGGCGUGAGUGCAGUAGGGGAGGCUGGAAGUCCUGGUGUAGCGGUGGAAUGCGCAGAUAUCAGGAGGAAUACCGGUGGCGAAGGCGGGUCUCUGGGCUGUUACUGACGCUGAGGAGCGAAAGCGUGGGGAGCGAACAGG